GACGUAGGGCGCAAGCGUUGUCCGGAUUUAUUGGGCGUAAAGAGCUCGUAGGCGGCUUGUCGCGUCGACUGUGAAAACCCGCGGCUUAACUGUGGGACUGCAGUCGAUACGGGCUAGCUAGAGUUCGGUAGGGGAGACUGGAAUUCCUGGUGUAGCGGUGAAAUGCGCAGAUAUCAGGAGGAACACCGGUGGCGAAGGCGGGUCUCUGGACAGUUCCUGACGCUGAGGCACGAAGGUCAGGGGAGCAAACGGG
rnacentral:rRNA from 1 species